rnacentral:misc_RNA from 1 species
UUUAGUAGUGCUUAAACAUACCCAUAUAAACUGUUAUUUUAUUAAUAAUAAUAAUAAUAUCGGAAGAAAAGUAGGGAAAAAAAUAAUAAUGGAUGCAUGUAUGGAAAUUUAAGAAACCAAUGCUACCAUUUGUUAACGAUGAAGAUGGCAUCCACCACUAGAACCCAUUUGUGGUAGAUCCAUACCAAGUUACAGGAGUCGGAAUGUGGUUUAUGGACUCUAACUUGACUUUUUCCAGGGGUUCUCCCCAUAGUAGAAAGCAGUUCCAACCAUAAGUGCAACAGUAG